UGGCUUCAGCAGCAAGGAUACUGAAGUUGGGAUGAUACAGAGAUGAACAUGGCCCCUGCGCAAGGAUGAAAAGCAAAUUCCUAAAGUGUUUGUUAAAUUUUU